rnacentral:rRNA from 1 species
GGAUCCAGACUUUGAUUCUGGCUCAGGAUGCACGCUAGCUACAGGCUUAACACAUGCAAGUCGAGGGGAAACGAUAGAGAAAGCUUGCUUUUUCUAGGCGUCGACCGGCGCACGGGUGAGUAACGCGUAUCCAACCUGCCCACCACUUGGGGAUAACCUUGCGAAAGUAAGACUAAUACCCAAUGAUAUCUCUAGAAGACAUCUGAAAGGGAUUAAAGAUUUAUCGGUGAUGGAUGGGGAUGCGUCUGAUUAGCUUGUUGGCGGGGUAACGGCCCACCAAGGCGACGAUCAGUAGGGGUUCUGAGAGGAAGGUCCCCCACAUUGGAACUGAGACACGGUCCAAACUCCUACGGGAGGCAGCAGUGAGGAAUAUUGGUCAAUGGGCGAGAGCCUGAACCAGCCAAGUAGCGUGCAGGAUGACGGCCCUAUGGGUUGUAAACUGCUUUUAUAAGGGAAUAAAGUGAGAGUCGUGACUCUUUUUGCAUGUACCUUAUGAAUAAGGACCGGCUAAUUCCGUGCCAGCAGCCGCGGUAAUACGGAAGGUCCGGGCGUUAUCCGGAUUUAUUGGGUUUAAAGGGAGCGUAGGCCGGAGAUUAAGCGUGUUGUGAAAUGUAGAUGCUCAACAUCUGCACUGCAGCGCGAACUGGUUUCCUUGAGUACGCACAAAGUGGGCGGAAUUCGUGGUGUAGCGGUGAAAUGCUUAGAUAUCACGAAGAACUCCGAUUGCGAAGGCAGCUCACUGGAGCGCAACUGACGCUGAAGCUCGAAAGUGCGGGUAUCGAACAGGAUUAGAUACCCUGGUAGUCCGCACGGUAAACGAUGGAUGCCCGCUGUUGGUCUGAAUAGGUCAGCGGCCAAGCGAAAGCAUUAAGCAUCCCACCUGGGGAGUACGCCGGCAACGGUGCAACUCAAAUGAAUUGACGG